CUAAGAAUAUUCCGCAAUGGGGGAAACCCUGACGGAGCGACGCCGCGUGGAUGAUGAAGGCCGGAAGGUUGUAAAGUCCUUUUGGGCGCAAAGAAUAAGUACGCGAGGAAAUGCGCGUGCGGUGACGGUAGCGCCUGAAUAAGCAACGGCUAAUUACGUGCCAGCAGCCGCGGUAACACGUAAGUUGCGAGCGUUGUUCGGAAUUAUUGGGCGUAAAGGGCAUGUAGGCGGUCGUGCAAGCUUGGUGUGAAAUCCCGGGGCUUAACUCCGGGACUGCGUUGAGAACUGCACGGCUAGAGUAACUGAGGGGCAGCCGGAAUUCCAGGUGUAGGGGUGAAAUCUGUAGAUAUCUGGAAGAACACCAAUGGCGAAGGCAGGCUGCCAGCAGAUUACUGACGCUGAGGUGCGAAGGUGCGGGGAGCAAACAGG
rnacentral:rRNA from 1 species